rnacentral:lncRNA from 1 species
AACGAUAGUAGAAGAUGUGAAACAAGGUAGCCCAAUCAUUUUUGUAGAAAAGUACAUCCCUCAAAGUACUGUUAUAUUAAGCAAGCACUCCCGAGGACGCAUGGGAAUUCCUAUCUAGUCACAUUCAACAUAUUGAGUUGAAUCUCGUUCGCUACUUUGAUAAUUUGAUAUGUGGGUGGACCGGUGCUAAGGUGAUGUUCUUACUUAAGGAAACAACCAACUUAUGAUGUUCUUACUUAAGGAACUCCAAGCAUCGCUUCGUCGUUCCACCCCCGAUCCAUUCGGGGACUAAUGAUGGGGUUAUAGUCCUAGGGUAGGGUCAUAGGCCUGCCCUAUAGGUCCUACCCAAGGACUACCCUUCAUAAGAGACAAGGCCCUUAGUCAGUUCCGACUGAAUUAAGGACUUCCCAUCAUCCAGUCGGUGACGAUUCCUCCAUCAUCCAGUCGGAGAUGAGCAUUUGGAGCGUAUCAAACUUACCGACUCGAUUCCACUCUGUACAUCGUAACCCCCCUGGAGGGCAACGGUCAUACGUUUCCGUGUACCUUUAUUAGAAUUUAAGGCAUACGUUACCUGUAACGUAGGCAUUUAUUCGCCACUACUCCACCCGAGGGCACCGAACCGUUGUGAAGGGCAGCGCACUCUAUAUAAGCCGCCCUUCCCCACUGGUGCAGGGGUUGGC